GUUUUCCUGCCACUGUAGUGGUCCUUUAAAGGAACACUGAAGCGUUAGGAAUGCAAGCCCCCCACAUUUGUGAUAAAGUAAAUCAUUUUGGUUACCUUUUUCCAACAGCAAAGUUCUCUUGGGGAUUUUUAUGUCUUGGACUCCCGUGACACCAUGGAGGAUUCAUGGGCUCCUCCAAGAUGGUUCAAUCCAUUGAACAGCUGGGACCUGAUUUGCAUGCGCGUUGAAUGCCGUUUGCGCAUUCAAACUUCCCCAUAGGAAGGCAUUGAAUCAAUGUUGUGUCCUAUAAGGACUUCCAUGUCAUGUGACCAAGUUUUACUUGGUCA